GACAGAGGUGCCGAGCGUUAGGCGGAAUCACUGGGCUUAAAGCGUGUGUAGGCGGCGGCGUAAGUACCUUGUGAAAUCCCACGGCUCAACCGUGGAACUGCUGGGUAUACUGCGGAUCUUGAGCCACCUAGGGGCGAGCGGAACAAGUGGUGGAGCGGUGAAAUGCGCAGAUAUCAGGAGGAACACCAAUGGCGAAGGCAGCCCGCUGGGACGGUACUGACGCUGAGACGCGAAAGCGUGGGGAGCAAACAGG
rnacentral:rRNA from 1 species